rnacentral:rRNA from 1 species
UACGUAGGGAGCAAGCGUUGUUCGGAUUUACUGGGCGUAAAGGGCGCGUAGGCGGCGCAGUAAGUUACUUGUGAAAUCUCUGAGCUUAACUCAGAACGGCCAAGUAAUACUGCAGUGCUAGAGUGCAGAAAGGGCAAUCGGAAUUCUUGGUGUAGCGGUGAAAUGCGUAGAUAUCAAGAGGAACACCUGAGGCGAAGGCGGGUUGCUUGUCUGACACUGACGCUGAGGCGCGAAAGCGUGGGGAGCGAACGGG